CGACAAGCAUGAGUAGGUGAUCGACAAAACCAGGAGAGAUGCGAUGACAAGGGUGGCGACAUGGCCCGUGACUCCAUGGUCAGUGGGAGGGCUCAUGGUUUAGGAAAUGCUAUGAUAAGACCAGUAGUUAUUGAAGGUCCAUGAUGCUUUCUGCUUCCUCUUCUCAAAAAAGUGGUGCUUUGUAUGAAGAAAGCCUCCUCUACGGAGCUGAUUGAAUUAACCACCUUCCAGAGGUUCUACAGACCUUCCCUUUGCUUUCGUAGGAG
rnacentral:lncRNA from 1 species